GGGAGUGUCGCCUAAUGAAUUGGGCACCAGUCUUCGAAACUGGUCUGUGUGGGUAACUCCUAGCGGAGACGCGAACGCGAACGACUCCUACCACUCCUG
rnacentral:tRNA from 1 species